rnacentral:lncRNA from 1 species
ACAUGACAGUAGAAUAUAUUUGAACAUAUUAUACAUACGUGGAGUAUACUUUUUUCUAAUUAGGAUCCCAUUCUUGUGGUUGCACAUGGUGUGGAGUUUCACUGGUUGUGUAUUCAUAUAUGAACAUAGGAAAGUUAUGUCUGGGAUAAUAUGUUUUAAAGAAUGCCUAUUCUAGCUGAAUAUGGUGGCACACACCUGUAAUCCCAGUGACUCUGAAGGCUGAGUCAGGAUGAUUGCUGGUUCAAAGCCAACCUCAGCAACUUAUGAGGCCAUAAGCAACUCAGUGAGACCCUGUCUCAAAAUAAAAAAUAAAAAGAGUUGGGGAUGUGGCUUAGUGGUUAAGCAUACCUGGGUUCAAACCCUGGUAUAAAAAAAAAAAAAAAAAAGAAGAAGAAGAAUGCCUUUUCUGGGCUGGAGGUGUAGAGUACUUGCCAAGUGUAUGUGAGGCCUUGGGUUUCAUCUCCAGCACUGCAAAAAAAAAAAAAAAAAAUACCUGUUUUUCUUAGGUUGGGCCAGUUUGUUUUCUAUGAAGCUACUAGCAGUAGCAAAGAAAUAGUGCCCGUGUAGCUUUCAUGACAGACCCCCCUCCAAGGGGCCUUGGAGGUGAGCCACUGGGUGACUGAGGCUUCCAUAGUUUUAGGAAAAAGGGAAACAAGAAAUUUUCUAGCCUGUGAUGUUUUUCUGCAAUCCCUCUGGAAAUGGUGAGGAUGAUGAAUGAAUUCCACUUUGGGAUAAGCAAUGCAGUGAGACACAUAGUCAGACAGAGCCCUGCCCAACAACACACACACACACACACACACACACACAAGCUGAGGAAAGAGAUUAGGCAAACAGUAACAAUGCUUUUACUCAUGGGUCCUUGGGGUAACCCUCCCUUAAAGCAUCAGGAAUGGAGGACUGAAAGGCAUAAGAAAAUAUGGUGAUGAAGCAGGUCUCUGUUGCUCUUGGCAAUGCUGGAAGAGGAGCAUAAUGGGACUGAAUCUGCCCUGCUCUGCCCUGGGGAGGUCAUGGGACAUCACAUGGGGUGGAGACCUCUCUGGGAAUGGUCAAACAGUAUGUUAGUCACAAGACUACACUGAGAACAAGCAAAGAUUCUUUGUUGGGACACUGAGACUCUACCUGGCUCCUUCUAUCACCUUCUGAACAUGUUCCCUGGGGCAUGAUAUAGUCCACUAUGGCUCCUGAAGUUAUUUUUUCUAAAUGCACCAAUUCAUCGGAGUAAAAACUAACCAAAAAUAAGAGUGGGGGGUGAAUCAAUCUCUCAGAUUCUAUUUUCCUCAGCCUUCUUGAGUCUCCAUGGUAUCAGAUGGCAAGUUGUAACCAUUUACUUCUGAUUGAGUGCCCUGAUUUCUUUCGUCUCUUAUCUUCUAUUCCCUCCCCCAGUUCCCUACCCAUUCCCCUCUGUCCUCCUCUCCCCACAGCUUUGGUAAGAAAGAGCCAGCCUUGAAUUCAAGCAUAAUUGCUCAGCAGGGGGGACUUCCUUGAAAAAACCUCAAAUUUUUGGGCUGUAACAGUGGAAAUCUGUUUGAACCCUUGAACUUCCUUUAUUGUUGAAAUGACCACCUACAGAAACAUGCUGG